AGCGAACGCUGGCGGCAGGCCUAACACAUGCAAGUCGAACGAACUCUUCGGAGUUAGUGGCGGACGGGUGAGUAACACGUGGGAACGUGCCUUUUGGUUCGGAAUAACUCAGGGAAACUUGUGCUAAUACCGAAUGUGCCCUUCGGGGGAAAGAUUUAUCGCCAUUAGAGCGGCCCGCGUCUGAUUAGCUAGUUGGUGAGGUAACGGCUCACCAAGGCGACGAUCAGUAGCUGGUCUGAGAGGAUGACCAGCGACACUGGGACUGAGACACGGCCCAGACUCCUACGGGAGGCAGCAGUGGGGAAUCUUGCGCAAUGGGCGAAAGCCUGACGCAGCCAUGCCGCGUGAAUGAUGAAGGUCUUAGGAUUGUAAAAUUCUUUCACCGGGGACGAUAAUGACGGUACCCGGAGAAGAAGCCCCGGCUAACUUCGUG
rnacentral:rRNA from 1 species